rfam:Clostridium sp. KLE 1755 genomic scaffold Scaffold22, whole genome shotgun sequence.
AUAAUGGCUUUCCAAAAAGCCACCCAAAUCAACAGUAAAGGAAUAU